rnacentral:rRNA from 1 species
UAGGGAAUCUUCCACAAUGGGCGAAAGCCUGAUGGAGCAACGCCGCGUGUGUGAUGAAGGGUUCCGGCUCGUAAACACUGUUGUAAGAGAAGAAUGACAUUGAGAGUAACUGUUCAAUGUGUGACGGUAUCUUACCAGAAAGGAACGGCUAAAUACGUGCCU